GACGAACGCUGGCGGCGUGCUUAACACAUGCAAGUCGAACAAGUGGCGGACGGGUGAGUAAUGUCUGGGAAACUGCCUGAUGGAGGGGGAUAACUACUGGAAACGGUAGCUAAUACCGCAUACCAUCGGAUGUGCCCAGAUGGGAUUAGCUAGUGGGUGGGGUAACGGCUCACCUAGGCGACGAUCCCUAGCUGGGCUGAGAGGAUGACCAGCCACACGGGAACGGGGAAACGGUCAAGACUCCAACGGGAGGCAGCAGUGGGGAAUAUUGCACAAGGGGCGAAAGCCGGAUGAAGCCAUGCCGCGUGUAUGAAGAAGGCCUUCGGGUUGUAAAGUACUUUCAGCGGGGAGGCGUUACCCGCAGAAGAAGCACCGGCUAACUCCGUGCCAGCAGCCGCGGUAAUUC
rnacentral:rRNA from 1 species